CAAUAACGAAAGAAAGACAAUCCUUUUAUCACCAGAAAAUAAGUGUUAGUUUUCAGACAACACUUCCGCAUCUCGAUGCCUGGGUGAUGUUUUUCAGUGACCAACACAGGACUUAGGAAAAGACGUCGUGUCAUGCUGUUCAAGGUCACUGAGAUCUGGCCUUGCCCCCAGGUGUCAGCCAGAAGAACCCAGAGCGGGUAGAGGAAAUGUCUUCCUCUCCUAUACUGGACAACUGUGUCACUGCCAGAUCAUCUCCAAGCAAACUCCUCCCUUGGUGGCAUGUGCAUUUUCAGAGAGAGCACUUAUAGACCCAAAAGUCUUCAUCUUCAAGAAGCUUGAUCCACAUGGUGAAAUUCCAGGCAUCAUGGCAGACCUUGCAGGGAGUUAUGUAUAGGAAAUGGACUGGCAAGUUGGAAUGAAAACAGAUAAGAGAACAAAAGCCCAGCUAAGAAGAGUGGAAUUUAUUUCGAAGACAAUGACGAGUCACUGGAGUUUUUGACCAGACCCACUGAGGAAGACCAAGCAGGAGUUGCUUCAGAGGAGGCAUGGAUACGAACGUGGAGAGGGGAGAAGGAGAAGCCACUGCCUUGAGGAGAGUUAAGUGUCCUUUGAGACGGGAGUUAAGAUGUGCAAACAGAGGCCUAGGACAAGGAAAAUGAUCUGACUGAGAGUCCAGGGUAAACAGCAUUUGCGGAGAUUCAUAUGUAUCUGCACACACACCCUGAUCACUAAAAUUUAUCUAGACCUUUGCUAGACACUUGCGAAAGUGUGAUCCACCGGCCAGUAGCAUCAGUAUUACCUGGGAACUUGUUAGAAAUACAAAUUCUCAGGUCCUUCCCCAGACCUAAUGACUCAGCAACCUCAGGUGUUUCUUGUGCAUCUUAAAUUUGAGAAGUCCUUCUCUAGAAGGCUGAUUGGAGCUGGAAGUGGGAUGUAGUUGAAGAGGCUGGGGGCAUGUUUUAAUCCUGGCUUCAGAGGAUCAGAAUAAAAUCCACAGCCUUGGCUUUCUCAGCAACCUGAUUUAAUCUACAUGGUCUUUGAGGGCCCGAGGCCCCAGGCUAACCAGGC
rnacentral:lncRNA from 1 species